UUUACAAUAACUUAAGGGANAAGUAUUUAGUUGUUAACUAGAAUUAUAUCGGUUCGAUUCUGAUUUGUAAAG
rnacentral:tRNA from 1 species